UUGUGCCCUGAAGUAUAGUUUACAGGGCAAACCCUUCAGUGUUUACAGACAAGAGCCAGGGUGUUUGAAUCAUCCAUACAGGCCCCUCUAUUCCUUCAGUGGCUGAAAAACUUGAUACGGAUUCCUCAGAUGAACUUCCAAGCUUUGAGCCUCAACUUGCUGGGAAUACCAGACAGAAUGUAUGUGAACUACCUGGUCCCUCAAGGAACCCACACACUAAUGAAAGUAACUCCUGGAGAUCUGGAAUAUUUCCAGAUUUUCUUCUAAUGUGUGCAGAGUGUGACUGUAUUUGGGUUAACAGUGCACAUCACCACAAAGGAGAUCUGUAUCAUGAAGGUGAAAGGACUAAAACCUGAUGUAUCUAAACAGUGAGUUGUCUCUAGAAGGUGCUCUCUGUGAUGUGCCUGCUUGGCAACAAAGAUCAGGCUAUUCAUUCACCUCUCGUAGCCCACCCAGGUGAGGCAUCGUGUUCUCAUGGAAAGAAGUGCCAAGUAGACCCAGUCCUUUUCAUGUAUUAAGGAUGGAACUGUUCAGAUCGGGUUUGCCUGUGAUUUUACAUCCCUGCAGAGAUGUUUAAUCGGAGAACUGACGGGGCUCUCUUCUCAUGUUGCUGCUGUGGCACUAUCAGACAAGCAGCUGCCUUUUUAACCCAGGACAAUGAAGUUGGUUGCCUUGCUCAGUGGUGUUUCCUGGCACCUGUAGAGUGGCCACAGAAGUUCAGCCUUACCCCCUAAACCUUUUUACAGUUGCAGAGGCAUGCUGGAGCAGUGCUGUCAAUGCCAGAGCAGCACUGUAGUUCCCCUGCUUUGAGGACAUCAACUCCCAUUCCAGGCAUUCCUCCACUGCUGUGUCAUUUGUUGCAUCUCUGAAGGGUUCAAGUCAAGGAGGUUUUAUCACCAUUUUGUGUUUGCCUGGGAUGUUGAGUACUCCUCCUUUGCUGUCAAGUUCAUGCAAUGAGCCAUAAACCGUUGGUGCCCCUUCAU